rnacentral:tRNA from 1 species
GGAGCACUAGCUCAGUCGGUAGAGCACCUGACUUUUAAUCAGGUUGUCGGGGGUUCGAAUCCCCCGUGCUUCACUA